rnacentral:rRNA from 1 species
AUUCUCAGUUCGGAUUGCAGGCUGAAACUCGCCUACAUGAAGCUGGAGUUACUAGUAAUCGCAGAUCAGAAUGCUGCGGUGAAUGCGUUCCCGGGUCUUGUACACACCGCCCGUCACACCACGGAAGUUGGGGGCGCCCGAAGCCACUUAGCUAACCCUUUUGGGAAGCGAGUGUCGAAGGUGAAAUCAAUAACUGGGGUGAAGUCGUAACAAGGUAUC